rnacentral:rRNA from 1 species
GAUGAACGCUGGCGGCGUGCCUAAUACAUGCAAGUAGAACGCUGAAGGAAGGAGCUUGCUCUUUCCGGAUGAGUUGCGAACGGGUGAGUAACGCGUAGGUAACCUGCCUGGUAGCGGGGGAUAACUAUUGGAAACGAUAGCUAAUACCGCAUAACAGUAGAUGUUGCAUGAUAUCUACUUAAAAGGUGCAAUUGCACCACUACCAGAUGGACCUGCGUUGUAUUAGCUAGUUGGUGAGGUAACGGCUCACCAAGGCGACGAUACAUAGCCGACCUGAGAGGGUGAUCGGCCACACUGGGACUGAGACACGGCCCAGACUCCUACGGGAGGCAGCAGUAGGGAAUCUUCGGCAAUGGACGGAAGUCUGACCGAGCAACGCCGCGUGAGUGAAGAAAGUUUUCGGAUCGUAAAGCUCUGUUGUAAGAGAAGAACGAGUGUGAGAGUGGAAAGUUCACACUGUGACGGUAUCUUACCAGAAAGGGACGGCUAACUACGUG